GUAAAAGUAGGAUCAGGAGGUGAAGAGUGAGUUUACAUACGUGAUUGAAAGUUCUUGUUGAAGCUACCAGUCUCCUUGAAGAGCUGCUCAAAGUGAGGCUUACAGUACAACACACCUUCCAUUGAUGAAUAGUUGCUCAGCUGUAAGCAAACCAAAGCCAUCAAUCAACACACAUUUUUAACUUUUAUCAUAUAAAGUUUUUCACAGAACUAAUAACAUAAAUGCAGAUAAUCUAAAGAUCUUAUCAAAGAGAGAGAGAGAAAGAAACAGACUUGAAGGGUGGAUUUGCAGUGAGAGCACUUGAAGCAAGACUUGUGGAAAGGGACACCAUCAGCUGAGAGAAGCUCCAUAGGGUACACUGUCUUCUCA
rnacentral:lncRNA from 1 species